rnacentral:lncRNA from 11 species
GGCUCCACUGGAACUUAGCAAGGCAAUGGGUUGUCUCUAGAUGGGACUCACAAUUGGAUUUAGGCCAGCAUAAGGGAAGUGUUUGAAGUGCUAGAAUAAAGAGAAUGAGAGAAUCAUUCAGUAAAGGACUGGGUGAACUGUAAACAGAAAGAGUUUCAAAUGGUUUCAAGUGGUUUCAAGUGGCAACUAAAAAGUGAAAUUUCACUGUGUUAACUACAGCCUUAGAGACAAAAUAAAAUUCCAUGGGUAGUUUCCUCCCAGGAGGAAAACUGUAUAAAUACCAAGGAUUUGGAAAGGUCUUCCCAAAAUAUUUCAGAACUUCCUUCCUUGAGGGUUUCUUUUAUUUUCAUUGGCAUUCAGGCUAUAGCCAACAUUUGGCAAUGAAGACUCUUUACUCUCUCUUUCUUCUUGCUUUCUUUGUUUUCCAGGUGCAGAGCAAGCCAAAACCACCAGCUAAACCUGGGCGAAAUGACUAUGAGUUACAGGAGUUUGCUAACCUUCAAGAAGAUGGUAAAAACUUGAAAGAUGAAGCAGAAGCACAGUUCCGAGGACUUCGAGAACCUUGCUUUCAGAAGAGGGGCUAUUGCCUGCCUCGCAUUUUUGCUUGUAACUCAGGCUUCGUGUUCAAGGAACAGUACAACACUUGCUCUGAAAAGAAGCUUUAUAAGUGCUGCCUUCACUGACAAACUCAACAACAUGCUGAAAUCUCUUAACACAAUGUUAAGUCAUCAAUUCCUUACAUACCUUUCAAUAAAUUGUCUGUUGAUUAUUGCAUUCUUUGUUUAUCGUAUUUUGGAGUGUGGUUUUUUUGGCUUUGUGUUAUCUAUUUGCUUAAAAGUGUGGUCCCAAAAUUGGGCAAUGUGAGAUCAUCACAUUAUUCUUUGAGUUAAAAUCUUACCUUAGAUUGAACGUUCAACCAGUGUGCAAUUCUGGAAGGAGAACCGCAACUGAAUGAUACAGAUUGAACAUCCCUUCUCUAAAAUGUUUGGGACCAGAAGUGGUUCAAAUUUCUGAAUGAUUUUUGGAGUUUUUUGCAUAGUGAUAAUGAUAUAACUUUGAGGUGGGACCCAUAUCUAAACAUAAAAUUAUUUUAUGUUUUUAUAUGCACCAUAUACUGUAUAAAUAGCCCAAUGGUCAUUUUAUGCCCAAUAUUUUAAAUAAUUUUGUGUGAAAAAUUGGUGUAAGUUGAAUGAUCAGAAAACAAAGAUGUCACAGUCUAGAGAUGUUAUCCCAUGCUGCCCCCCCCCCCUCAUUUCUAGACACUUUGAAAAUAGAGAGUUAACGAUAUAUAACAGAGACCAUCCCAUGACACAGGGGAAUUCCUGUCUGCGCCUGUCCCAAAUCAUCAGAAAAGUGUCUCAAAAGUCCUAGAAAAUGGGGAGUGGGGGAGACAGGCAGAGAUUGUCUUUUGAGGUCAGGAAAAAUGGCAAGAAAAUACGGGAUGGGAGUUGUCAAUUUUCCCCGGGCUGAAUUGCUUCAAUGACGUGGAGUAAGGGGUGUUUCUGUGUUAGGAAUUGUGGGAGCUGAAGUCCAAAAAACUUGGAGAUCAGAAGUUUGCCAAUGCCUGGUUUAAACUGACAUAACAUGAAAUACGGUUUUUUAAAAAUCAAAAAGUUAUAAUAAGAACAAUUUACUGAAUUUUCAUAAUUGUGAAUAUACAAAAAUUUAUAAAUUUAUUAUUUUUGAAAAGAAAAAUAUGUUGAUCAGGACCUCAUUUUUUUCUGGUGCAAGAAGACAAAAUCCUAAAAAAGUGGGGAAAAUAAUUUAAAAUGCUAAUAAUUUUUUAACCUGUGAGAACAUCUUUGAAUGCAAUUUUCCUGCUUCUUGGCAGGGGGUUGGACUGGAUAGCCCACAAGGCUUCUUCCAACUCUACAAUUCUAUGAUUCUAUUAUCUCUCUUGACUUCUCUAGAUCCUCUAGGACAAUUUUCAUAUAAUCAACUUCUGCUGGAUCAUAGAAUCAUGCUGGAGGACCUAGAGAUUCCUCAAGAAAUGAUCUCUCUAGAAACCUUUAGGUCCUCCAGGACAACUCGAUGAUUGAUUUCCAUUAGCCAAUUUCCAACUUUCAAUAGAAGUUGACUAUAGAGUCACUCUGGAAGACCUAGAUAUUCCUAGAGAGAACAUAUUAAUGAAAUCCUCAAAAGUUUAAUCUUCAAACGUUGAAGGACUGAUUGUAUUUUUAUAUUACAAAUUUUAUUUUGAAACUUGAGCUGGGGUAGGUGGAUUUCUACUAAUUCUGCCUCCAUCCAAUAUUCCUCCUGAUUUUAACUUCAUGAUUCUGAUCCAUGGCUCAAUUGUUGAUGCCUCCCUCCUCUCAUUUAAGGAGCAACAAGAAGGGGUGGGUGGAUAUCGGGAAGGCUGGUAGCCUUGCUGAGUGACCAACUUUGCUUCCUUCUUCCUACAAACCAAGUCUCAGCUCUUCUUGUUCUCAUUGAUUCUGGCACAUACUUGCAAUAUGGAGGAAUGGAUUUAUUUAAGCCAUAGUCUUACGGCAACUCCAAUCAUGAGGCAUAGUUGAAAACUAAACUCAACAUAAUAUUUGUAUAAAGUUAUUUCCUUGUUUCAUGUGGUGUGGAAGUGAGAUGACAUCUUGCUGAUUGAAGUCAAUGAGAAAUGUCAAAACAGAUUAAACAAAGGAGCAUUCUGAAUAUUUACUGGCACUGUGGAUUACAGUCAAAGAUAAAAAAACAACUUAUAAAAUAUAUAAAACAACUUCCUUUUUCUGGAAAUGAGAUUUUUUGGCUCCUCCUAGUUUUUAUCCUUUUUCUUAGCUGUUGUGACCAUUUCUGAGCCUAGUGCAAGCCAUGGUUCAUUCUGGUGAUCUUGAUUAACCUCCUGAGCCCUCUCCUUCCAGGUCUAUAUUCAUUUGUGGCCAUGAGAGGUUAAAAUAAUGGCCACAAAUGAACAUAGAACCUGAAAUGAGGGGCUACUUUAGAAGGUUCGGGAGAUGAAUCAAGGCCACCAGAAUGAACCAUGGCUUGCCCUAGGCCCAAAGGUGUUCACAACAGCUAAGAAAAAGAAUAAAACUAGAAAGAUCAUUAUGUGUACCUGCAGGGCUUUGAAGAGACAUUAUGGAACAUUUUUGGUCAUCUCUAUACCUAAUGGAAAAAUCAAUUGCAAUGGACUCUGCACCUGCGAUAAUGCAGCCCAGAAGUAUCACCAGCACCCCUUGGCUGGCCGGUCUAAGGACACAUUGGAGCUGCUGCUACCCUGUCACCACCAACAAGCCCCUCUCUCCCAAAUGUUUGCUAGAGAUGUAGCAAUUCUGGUCACGUGGCUCUAUGUCAGAAAUAGCACCACAAGUAGUGACACAGAAGAGCACCUGUUGGUGCUGUGGACAUGGAUCAGACCAUAUCGAACCUGAACUAGUUGUUCACACCUCUGAAAUUGCCUGAUCACUCCAGAGCUCUCAUAAAGUUCUGGAGUAAAUCCUGUGUUCUGUAGAUGCUCUGAAUCCAGCUGUGCAUGAGACAUUAGUCCAUGCUAUUUUGGUCAUGUAGACAUUGCCUUAGAGCACAACUGUGACAUCCAUGCAAAUCGGUGCGGUGAUCUCCAGGAACCAAUGCAAACUUGUAAUUUCCUUCAGAUUGCAAAUACAGUGGAGUCUCACUUAUCCAAGCUAAACAGGCCGGCAGAACCUUGGAUAAGCGAAUAUCUUGGAUAAUAAGGAGGGAUUAAGGAAAAGCCUAUGAAACAUCAAAUUAGGUUAUGAUUUUACAAAUUAAGCACCAAAACGUCAUGUUAUACAACAAAUUGGACAGAAAAAGUAGUUCAAUGUGCAGUAAUGUUAUGUUGUAAUUAAUGUAUUUAUGAAUUUAGCACCAAAAUAUAAUGAUAUAUUGAAAACAUUGACUACAAAAAUGCCUUGGAUAAUCCAGAACCUUGGAUAAGCAAGUCUUGGAUAAGUGAGACUCAACUGUAAUAAUAAUAAUAAUAAUAAUAAUAAUAAUAAUAAUAAUAAUAAUAAUUUUGCCAACUGCAAAAGGCCACCCUACUGGGAUCUGCAUGCAUCAUCCGAAAACAAAUCACACAGUCCUAGACACUUGGGAAGUGUUUGACUUGUGAUUUUGUGAUACGAAAUCCAGCAUGUCUAUCUUGUUUGCUGUGUCAUAAUAGAAUAAUAAUAGGAUGGGGAAGCAAUUCACAACUGCACAAAUGUAUGUAUGGAUUUGGAGUAGAAUUGCUGCAUCCAAUCAUUGAUCUACGAAAAACGAACUCUAUGCAAUGCAGAAAUGUGAUCCUUUGCUAUGUAAAAAUGCAUUGAUAUCACUGGAAAUUACUUCUUGAACUUUUUAUGACAUCAGAGGAAAUGGAUGCAACAUUUUUAGGGGCUAGAGGUCAAUAAAAUGGCUCAAAGUGUAGCUCACAGAUUGUACUUUGACCAUACGUGACAUAGAAGGAGUGCUGACCAAAACCACAGAAAAUGUAAAUGCAUGAGGGCUCCCAUUGUAUCCAGCUCUUGGCCUCUGUACAUCCUAUUUCUCCAAUUUGGUAGCAACAACCCUGAUUGGUCCUUUGCUGUGCCACUUUCCCAGCUGCUCUGUACAAGGCCACUCGCCCUGUACUUCUGCUGGGAAGAGGGCUCGAGGAAAGCACACGGCAACCGAGAGAACUCUAUAGGGCUCCCAGCCACCGCAUGCCUUCCUCCUUCAUACUUUUGACAUAAAGACGUAGUGUGCCGAUGCAUCCUUAUGCCCAGAGAACUGGGAAAAUUUUGAGGAUUGGUCAUAAGGGCCCAGAGGGCUGUGUCUGGCCCAUGCCUUAGUUUGCCCAUGCCUGGUAUGGUAAUUUACUCAGCAGAAAGAAAAGGAAAGGAUUUUUGCAGAAUCUUGUUCUUUCCAAUAGACUCAGUCAAAAGGAAAUGGUGACAGUUUCUUCAAGCUUGCCUGUUAUUUCUCAUUAAGUUCUUUUGCCAUCUUGACCACAUUCUUAUGUUGCUUCAUCAAUUCCAUCUCCAUUUUCAUCUGUGAAAUGUUUGAAGACAUGCUCUGUGUAUUGGCUGAAUGCUUGAAUCUGAUUUCUACAGCUCACAGCUGGUUGCAAAUAGGUGCUUUAUCUCAUAGUAGGUGUUCUGAUUGUAUGAAAAGAUUAUAUUUGCUCCAUUGUAUGCAUAGCAAAUCCAUUUCAGACUUUCAGCCUCGGAAGGGCUCAGACAGAAAGGAGAGCAGGGAAACAUGCAAAAGUUACUUUUAAUAAUAUAUUCUUUUUCGUGUUAAGAAC